UACAGAGGGGGCGAGCGUUAUUCGGAAUUAUUGGGCGUAAAGGGCGCGUAGGCGGCUGUACAAGUCAAAGGUGAAAUCCCUCGGCUCAACUGAGGAACUGCCUUUGAAACUGUACGCUUGAGGCCGGGAGGGGUAGCGGAAUUCCCAAUGUAGCGGUGAAAUGCGUAGAUAUUGGGAGGAACACCAGUGGCGAAGGCGGCUACCUGGACCGGUUCUGACGCUGAGGCGCGAAAGCGUGGGUAGCAAACAGG
rnacentral:rRNA from 1 species